UGGGGAAUUUUGCGCAAUGGGCGAAAGCCUGACGCAGCAACGCCGCGUGGAGGAUGAAGGCCUUCGGGUCGUAAACUCCUGUCAGGGGGGACGAAAGGCCGGGCAACCGGCUUUGACUGUACCCCCUGAGGAAGCCACGGCUAACUCCGUGCCAGCAGCCGCGGUAAUACGGAGGUGGCAAGCGUUGUUCGGAAUUAUUGGGCGUAAAGGGCGCGUAGGCGGCUUGACAAGUCAGAUGUGAAAGCCCCGGGCUUAACUCGGGAAUUGCAUCUGAAACUGUUUUGCUUGAGUCCUGGAGGGGGUAGUGGAAUUCCCAGUGUAGCGGUGAAAUGCGUAGAUAUUGGGAGGAACACCUGCGGCGAAGGCGGCUACCUGGACAGUGACUGACGCUGAGGCGCGAAAGCUAGGGGAGCGAACGGG
rnacentral:rRNA from 1 species